AUUGAACGCUGGCGGCAUGCUUUACACAUGCAAGUCGAACGGUAACAGCCCGCAAGGUGCUGACGAGUGGCGAACGGGUGAGUAAUGCAUCGGAACGUGCCCAGUCGUGGGGGAUAACGCAGCGGAAGCUGCGCUAAUACCGCAUACGAUCUAUGGAUGAAAGCGGGGGACCGUAAGGCCUCGCGCGAUUGGAGCGGCCGAUGUCAGAUUAGGUAGUUGGUGGGGUAAAGGCUCACCAAGCCAACGAUCUGUAGCUGGUCUGAGAGGACGACCAGCCACACUGGGACUGAGACACGGCCCAGACUCCUACGGGAGGCAGCAGUGGGGAAUUUUGGACAAUGGGCGCAAGCCUGAUCCAGCAAUGCCGCGUGCAGGAAGAAGGCCUUCGGGUUGUAAACUGCUUUUGUACGGAACGAAACGGUCCUGGUUAAUACCCGGGGCUAAUGACGGUACCGUAAGAAUAAGCACCGGCUAACUACGUGCCAGCCGCCGCAGUAAGAC
rnacentral:rRNA from 1 species